CCCGCAUUGCCGCAGAUUCUUUACCGUUUACUGCUCUAGAAAAAAAAAUAGUAGGUAGGAAGGAGAGGGCAGGCGAGGGGAAAAAGCCACACCUCUAAGUCGUUAGGCCAAGUGCUGUAGUGGCACGAGCAAGCCUGUGAGGUCUCAGACGGGGGUUCAGGCCUGGACUCCGCCACGACCACGGGCGGGGUUAAUAGAGAGGCACACAGCCAAGCCGUGCCGGUCAACCGAGAGGCACUCCACCCGCUUCCCCCCGCCCCGGCUCCAGGCGUCUACUCCCCCGGUCCGCAGUCGCGCGCCGCUUGCCUCUCCAUCCUUGGUCCAGUUCAGCCUGGCAAGCGUUGCCAUGGCAGCGCCGCGGGCUGGGAUGCGGGAGGCCGAGCGCGCUGCCCCGCUCGCCUCUUUGUGCCGCGGGGGUGUCGGUGCGCUGCCUCCAUACCCGGCCGCACCCGCCACUCAGACCCCGACCCCCGGGACGGGGUGAAGGCAGCUACAAAGACUACGCCGGCUGCGCUCGGGGGACCGGCGGGAGGGAGGCUGCGGACGAGGGCGGGGAGGAGUUUGCGAUGGGAGGCGCCUGCAGGGGCUCCCCCAGUUCUGCGCUGUGAGCCGGGGCACAAAGAGCUCUCUGCACUGGCGCCGCAAGACCGCGGACCCGAGCUGGAGGCAUCUCCCUGCCUACCCGUAUGGUUCCAGACACAUUCAUGUGGCCGCCGUGACCCUACCAGCAUCAAAGGAGUAAUCAAGAGUGCAAGCAAGUUUCUGAGACAGAGGAGAAGGAAGGGAAUUUCCGGGUUCUUGGAGAUGUUCAGGACCACACUGGGAAGCAGCCUUGCAGAUAAGUAUUCAAACUUCCCAGCCCACAGCCUACCAGCCUGCCCUCUACUGGUCCGUGGAGCAAAGUACAGCAUCCCUGAAUCCCCAAGUCCAGGGGGAAAUCAGCGCUCCAGCUCUUUUGCUUUCCUAUCCCUAAGACACAAAGAAAAAGCUUGUCCCCAUUUUAUGGGGCCCCAGAGAGUAAUUUUCCUACCCCACUUUUGACAUCAAGGCUAGUAUUUUACAAACUCCACCCUCAGGGACUUCUGAGGAGCUGAGUUUAGUAACUUCAUCUUGAGAACCUGUAGAUCUGGUGUCAGGAGGAGACUGGGGACUCCUGGUGAUUUGGGCUGGCCCUUCCCUUCUUGGUUCUUGUCCUCUGUCAUCAUAUUUAUAAAACUUGGCUAGGGCUCCUUUUCUUGCCUGGCAGUCAAGUGGGGACCUCGGCACUGUGACCCCUAGGCACGUGCUUCUUGGUUUAAGGGUCUGAGUACCUCUCCUGCUCUGGGCCCGGGCCCCCAAGUCCAGGUGCUGACAGCAAGCUCUGAAGAUGCGGUGAACGGGCCGGGCCUGCCAGUGGGUGAAGAUAACCUUGUCACUGUUUGUUGUUUAGUCCCUGAGUCAUGUCUGAUGCUUUGCCAUCCCAUGGACUGUACCUCCUCUGUCCAUGGGAUUUCCCAGGCAAGAAUACUGGAGUGGGUUGCCAUUUCCUUUUUCAGGGAAUCCUCCUGACCCAGGGAUCCAACCUGCAUCUCGUCUCCUGCAUUAGCAGGCGGAUUCUUUACCACUGAGCCACCAGGGAAGCCCUAAGAUAGCUUAGCUGUCACCAGAAAAGCCUGGGAGAUGGUCCUGGCCCAGGAUUUGUGGGCAUUCUCUGGUCUUCUCCACACUGCAGACAUGGGGAUGUAGCUAAAGAGCCCCAGCCCACCAUCUGGCUCCCCACGUUUUCUUUUUCUGGGGCAUCAGAAAAGAGGAUAGGAGAUGAGAGUGGGGGGAGUUGGGCAGAAAGAUAACUGAGGUUGGGCCUUCUGCUUCCCAUCCUCUGCCUCAAGCUGCAGGUGGUUACUGCACUUCGGGGGAAUGUCUGGACUGGGAGGACCCUGGGACCUGGAGGGAGGGGCCGCCGGUCCAGCGUGACCCAGGAUAGCGGAGCUGGGAUCAGAUGUCCGGCUUCUCGCCCUGCUCCACGCUCUCACUCAACCUGAGCUUGCCCUGCUCUCUCCGGGGUCCCGUGCUGCUGUUGGCAGGGAACAGGGAGGUGUUCUGGGAAGCGAAAGGUUUUCUGGGUAGGGGAAGGGAGGUGGGGGUGGUGUGCCUGGGCCCAGCCUCCCUGGGUCCCGGGCCGGGGCUGUCUCCUUAGCAGAGCGAUCUGGCCCGGGCUGGGGAAGGGCCUGGGUGAGGUUUUCUCCUGUGUUGCGGUCGGCUCUUUUGUCUUCCAGGAUGGGACUGUGGAGGUCUCCGUGGGGUAGGAGCUGGGAUCAGGGCACUGCCAGAUGUGGACCGAGCGCCUUCUCUUGGAUAGAAACUGAGGAUCCGGAGGUCAACGUGCGAUGUGGUCCUGCCCUCUCAGAUCUUCGUGCUGCGCUGCCCCGGCUGCAUCUCUAGGACUCCUGGCCCGCUCUCCUCCUGGACUCUGGUGGUGGUGACACAGGAAGCAGUCUUCGCUGGUUUUCUGGAACCCUGGACAGCUCCCCGAAGAUCUCAUCCUUCCUAACUCCUGGGCCUCCCCUGGAUAAAGGCCCCUCCUGGUUGGUGCUCGGCCGAGGACAGUGGCGGAGCGCGAGGGUGGCUGGCAGCCCACCGUCCAUCCCUUCUGCAUCUCCCUGGACAUGCCUGCCUGUCCCCGCCCCUGUCCAGGACUGGAGGCCCUUCCUGACCCCGUGAGGACCUCACUGCUCCUCCCAUUCCUGCCGGUGACCGGGCGGAGCUUGGCCUGGGCCCAGGCCCCACUGACCACACCCUCGGCAAGGCUGGGUCUCACAGGACCUGCAGGACGGGGGCAGGCACCUGUGGAUGGGCGUCAGGGACGAGCUGCCAGUGGGUGGAGGGUGGACGCAGCUCGGGGAGUCAGUGGGCUGGAGUCUGUCUUGCGCCCUUUGCGUGUGAGUGAUUCCCAUUUUUCUGGGGGUUUCUGGGGUUCUUCUUCCUUGCUUCUCUCCCUGAUGGUCACCAGGAGGAGGCAGUCUAGGCCUCGGGGGAGCUUGGACCUUCUUCUAAUGCUGUGGAGCUCUGGGAAGGGUUAUCCUGAAAGGAGAGGGCUUCCAAGAGAGGAGAAGACCCCGGCCAGGGGGCUUGUGAGGAGACAGACCCUGGGUUGGCUCCUGACAUCCAAAGGGAACAGUCUGGAAUCAGCCUCACCCUGGCCCAGGAACAGUCUGGAAUCAGCCUCACCCUGGCCCAGUCUCAGACUCUUGCUCUUGGCCACCCCCAUCCCUGGGAAGCAGAGGCGGGCAGGGUAGGCUACAUACAGGUACAGCUUCCCCAUCACAGGGCUGUGGGCUCACUCACAUGCCCUCCCUUUCUCCAGUCCCCCACUGAGGGGCCGGCCUCAGUGCUUGCAGGAGGGCGGCCAUGGCCUUCCCCGGAGAAGCUCAAGAGCCUGACGUCCUUUUCCUGGGGCAGGAAGGGACGCUGUCAUAACAGAACUCCACUCCUGGAUGGCCAAACUGCAGAAAUGUAUUUUCUUAUAGUUCUGGAGGCUGGAAGUCCAAGACCAAGGUGGCAGGGAUGGCUUGUUGUGAGGCAUAUCUCCUUGGCUGGCAGACAGAACCUUCUCAUUGUAUUCUUACAUGGCCUUCUCUCUGUGCAUACGCAGAGAGAGAUGGUGUGUGUGAGAGGAGAGAGAUAUCAGGCAUCUCUUCCCUUUCCUAUAAGGGCACCAGUCCUAUGGGGUUAGGGCCUCAUCCUUAUGACCUCAUUUAGCCUUAAUUGCCUAUGCCAAAGCCCUACCUCCAAAUAUAGUCACAUCGGGGCUAUGAAUUUAGAGGGAGACACAAUUCAGUCCAUAGCAGGUGGUCACCACAAACCUGGAAGCUGGAGCCAUCUACCCUUUAGAAUUCCCACCCCCGAUGGGGAGGGGAAGGAGAAGCAGAGACAUGGGAAGCAGAAAUGGUGUGGCAGGUCCUGUGCGAGGGAGGCCCUGGGACCCUUGGAGAGACACGGAAUUGGCCAAACCCAGAGCAGUGGAGAGGAGCCCCUGGGAGAGGAGGGUCCUGUGAAGAGCCUGGGCUUUGGAGCCUGAGGGUUAUGCUCUGACGUGCAACCUUGGGCAAGUCACCUCACCCCUGUGAGUCCGAUUGGCACUCUGAAGCAGGAACCAUCAGCUCACCCAGGGAGCGGGGCACAGGGAGAAGUCAGUGAGAUCUCACAGCUGGCACAGUGCUUGACUCUUAGUAGGUGCUCAAUAAACACUCCCGUCCGUCUGGGAGUUUGGAUUUAGGGCUUCUCUCUUUCGGGCACCCUGGACUGUAAACUUCGCAUCUUUGAUCCAGAGGCGUUUCUGACCAGUGCUUCCCCAGGUAGGAAGCCGAGCCCAGGAAGGCAACUCUGUUUUCCACCCCGGAGCCUGGUCUGCUGAUGCUCACUCUGGCCUGGACUUCUCUGAGCAUCAAGUUCGCUAGGAGAUGUACCUCAGGAGCCUGGGAGCUGGCCUCCCAGCUGGAAGAGGCGACUCAAUCCUUUAACAGCCAGUGUGGGGGAGAGGCCACGGUGGUCCCUGCUGGGGGGGUGUGCUUGUGUAGAUAUUGAUAUUGCAAAUUGAGCUGGGGGAUUCUCUGGGGGGCACUCUGGUGCCCAUCCCCACAAAAGACCCCAAAGGCCCUCUUAAGCAUCUACCCAGGGAACCCACUGUUUUGCUUGAACAGACCAGAGAGGACACUUUCCAUGUUACUGCCUCCCGGGGAUGCUAACUGUGGGGACAGAAAUUCUGCUGUCGAUUAAACAUACUUUUAUGUGUAUCCAGC
ensembl:lncRNA